CUCCAGUCUCUGGGCGAAAAACAGCAGGGGUUUUUGUGAGUGGUCCUUCUGAGAACAAUGACACUGAGGCGCGCGUGCACGAGACGACUCAAUUUUUUUCUUUCAGUGUUUGAAUGAACACAACGUCGCCCGGUUGGAAUAUUAUCGCUAUUUUACGAGAAAAAUAGCAUAAAAAUGUAUUUUAAAUAGCAUUUGACAUGCUUCGAAGUACGGUAAUGGAAUAUUUUGAAUUUUUUGUCACGAAAUACGCCGGCGCGUCACCCUUUGGAUAGUGACUUGAACGCACGAACAAAACUGAUUAUUUCGAACCAAAACAACAUUUGUUGUUGAAGUAGAAGCCCUGGGAGUGCAUUCUGACGAAGAACAGCAAAGGACCUGAGCCCUGGGACCAUGCCUCAGGACUACCUGGCCUGAUGACUCCUUGCUGUCCCCAGUCCACCUGUUCGUGCUGCUGCUCCAGUUUCAACUGUUCAACUGUUCUGCCUGCGGCUAUGGAACCCUGACCUGCUCAGCUAUGAAAAGCCAACUGACAUUUACUCCUGAGGUGCUCACCUGUUGCACCCUCUACAACUACUGUGAUUGUUAUUAUUUGACCCUGCUGGUCAUCUAUGAACGUUUGAACAUCUUGGCCAUGUACUGUUAUAAUCUCUACUAGGCACAGCUAGAAUAGGACUGGCCACCCCUCAGAGCCUGUUUCCUCUAUAGGUUUCUUCCGAGGUUCCUACCUUUCUAGGGAGUUUUUCCUAGCCACCAUGCUUCUACAUCUGCAUUGCUUGCUGUUUGGGGUUUUAGGCUGCGUUUCUGUAUAGCACUUUGUGACAUCAGCUGAUGUAAAAAGGACUUUAUAAAUACAUUUGAUUGAUUGAAUUUGAUUGACUGCUUGGAGUUACCCUGGAUUGUAAACUUUCAUGGUCAAAACAUAUUGAUACAACAGUAGCUAAGAUGGGGAGAAGUCUGUCCAUAAUAAAGCGCUGCUCUGCCUUUUUAACAACACUAUCAACAAGGCAAGUCCUACAGGCCCUAGUUUUGUCGCACCUACCACAAAGAGGGACCUCAGAAAGUAAAAAUUGGCUCAGAACAGGGCAGCACGGCUGGCCCUUAAAUGUACAUGGAGAGCUAACAUUAAUAAUAUACAUGUCAGUCUCUCAUGGCUCAAAGUGGGGGAGCCACUUUUUUGUAAGAAGUGUUGACAUGCUGAAUGCGAAGUGUCUGUUUAAACUACUAGCACACAGUUCGGACACCCAUGCAUAUCCCAUAAGACACCAAAGGUCUCUUCACAAUCCCCAAGUCAAGACUAUGGGAGGCGCACAGUACUACAUAGAGCCAUGGCUACAUGGAACUUUAUUCCACAUCAGGUAACUGAUGCAAGCAGUAGAAUCAGAUGUAAAAAACUGGUAAAAAUACACCUUAUAGAACAGCAGGGACUGUGAAGAGACACACACACAGGCGAGGUCAGUACAGGUGCAUCAAAGCAGGGACCGAGAGACUGAAAAACAGCUUCUAUCUCAAGGCCAUCAGACUGUUAAACAGCCAUCACUACAUUGAGUGGCUGCUGCCAACAUAAUGACUCAACUCCAGCCACUUUAAUAAUGGAAAAAUGUAUGUAAUAAAUGUAUCACUAGCCACUUUAAACAAUGCCACUUCAUAUAGUGUUUACAUACCCUACAUUACUCAUCUCAUAUGUAUAUACUGUACUCUGUACCAUCUACUGCAUCUUGCCAUCUUGAUGUAAUGUAUCACUAGGCACUUUAAACAAUGCCACUUUUAUAUGUUUACAUACCCUACAUUACUCAUCUCAUAUGUAUAUACUGUACUCUAUACCAUCCACUGCAUCUUGCCUAUGCCGUUCUAU
rnacentral:lncRNA from 1 species